UACGUAGGGGGCAAGCGUUGUCCGGAAUCAUUGGGCGUAAAGAGCGUGUAGGUGGCCCGGUCAGUCCGCCGUGAAAGUCCAGGGCUCAACCCUGGAACGCCGGUGGAUACUGCCGGGCUGGAGUCCGGAAGAGGCGAGUGGAAUUCCUGGUGUAGCGGUGAAAUGCGCAGAUAUCAGGAGGAACACCAAUGGCGAAGGCAGCUCGCUGGGACGGUACUGACACUGAGACGCGAAAGCGUGGGGAGCAAACAGG
rnacentral:rRNA from 1 species